GCCAUUGUCUUCUCUGCAUCAGCCUUUGUUUCGGUACAUAAAGCAUGUACAGAACAUGGGAUCCUCAUUUUCUCUGCUUAGCUAGUACUGGACAAAGUUAUCUCUGUACACACAUAUUUCAAGGGUUUUCAAAAGACCUUGUGAGCACUAAAGUUAUUUCAAUAAUAUAUCUGUGCAGAUGCAAUACUCUGAGGUAGACUGGGCUGUCUGUCCUCUCCUGUCCCAGAGGCAGAGCAGACACAGGAAACACUGAGGUAGACUGGGCUGUCUGUCCUCUCCUGUCCCAGAGGCAGAGCAGACACAGGAAACACUGAGGUAGAGGGGACUGUCUGUCCUCUCCUGUCCCAGCGGCAGAGUAGACACAGGAAACACUGAGGUAGAGGGGACUGUCUGUCCUCUCCUGUCCCAGCGGCAGAGUAGACACAGGAAACACUGAGGUAGAGGACUGUCUGUCCUCUCCUGUCCCAGAGGCAGAGCAGACACAGGAAACACUGAGGUAGAGGGGACUGUCUGUCCUCUCCUGUCCCAGAGGCAGAGUAGACACAGGAAACACUGAGGUAGAGGGGACUGUCUGUCCUCUCCUGUCCCAGCGGCAGAGUAGACACAGGAAACACUGAGGUAGAGGACUGUCUGUCCUCUCCUGUCCCAGAGGCAGAGCAGACACAGGAAACACUGAGGUAGACUGGGCUGUCUGUCCUCUCCUGUCCCAGAGGCAGAGCAGACACAGGAAACACUGAGGUAGAGGACUGUCUGUCCUCUCCUGUCCCAGCGGCAGAGUAGACACAGGAAACACUGAGGUAGAGGACUGUCUGUCCUCUCCUGUCCCAGCGGCAGAGUAGACACAGGAAACACUGAGGUAGAGGACUGUCUGUCCUCUCCUGUCCCAGCGGCAGAGUAGACACAGG